UACGAACUGCGCGAACGUUAUUCGGAAUCACUGGGCUUACAGGGUGCGUAGGCGGCUUUUCAGGUCCGAUGCGAAAUCCCACAGCUCAACUGUGGAACGGCAUUGGAAACCGGAGAGCUCGAGUGAGCUAGAGAUGCACGGAACUUUCGGUGGAGCGGUGAAAUGUGUUGAGAUCGGAAGGAACACCAGAGGCGAAAGCGGUGCAUUGGGGCUUGUCUGACGCUGAGGCACGAAAGCCAGGGGAGCGAACGGG
rnacentral:misc_RNA from 1 species